rnacentral:lncRNA from 1 species
GACUUCAUUUCCUUUUAGAACUGCUGCUAACCCUUCUAUUUCUUCCUCUUCCUUUCCUUUUGUUUCUUCUCCGAGCAGUCCUUUUCUGAAACUGACCUGUCUGUUCCUAUCUCUGCCUUUCCUUCUUCUCCUUCUGCUACUCCUCCUUCCUCUUCAAGUCCAGUCACUUCCUUUGUUCCUCCAUCACUACCUCCUCCUCCCAACCUUCCUGAUUCCAGUCCUCCUUUUAAUCCUGAUAUUUCUCCUCCUGCUUUACCUCCUUCACUGCCUCCUCCUCCCAACCUUCCUGCUUCCAGUCCUCCUUUUAAUUCUGAUAUUUCUCCUCCUGCUUUACCUCCUUUCACGGCACCUAAUGUUCCCAGAAAAUCUGGAAGGCAGCACAACAUUUCCUCUUAUCUUAAGGAUUAUGUCUGUCACCUUCCUGCCUUUUCUGGAUCUUCUUUUUCUCCUCUAGAAUCUGAACCUCUUUAUUAUUCUCAAGCUGCAUGAGUCCCAGUAUGGCAGGAUGCCAUGAGAAAGGAGCUUGAGGCAUUGGAUGCAAACCAUACCUGGGAUGUUGUUACCCUUCCUCCUGGUAAGAAACCCAUAGGAUGCAAGUGGGUUUAUAAGAUCAAAUACAAGGCCGACGGUAGUGUUGAAAGAUAUAAGGCUAGACUUGUUAUUAGAGGGGAUACUCAAAUUGAAGGGGUUGAUUUCACUGACACCUUUUCUCAUGUGGUUAAGAUGUCCACUGUUAAAUGUCUUAUUGUUGUGGCUGUUAAGAAUCAUUGGGAUCUCUUUCAACUUGAUGUUAAUAAUGCUUUCUUGAAUGGUGAUCUGGAUGAGGAGGCUUAUAUGAAACUUCCUCCAGGUUUAACAGUUUCUGUCCCUUAUACUGAUUCUAUUUCCUCUGCAUCCCCUCCUCUUGUAUGUAAGUUGAAGAAAUCUCUUUAUGGAUUGGACAGGCAUCCAGACAAUGGUAUGCUAAACUGUCUUAUGCCCUCUACUCCAGAGGAUACACACAUUCUUUGAAUUAUUAUUCUUUUAUUUAUCAAGGGCCAACAUGGUUGUCUUGUAGUUGUGCAGUCUAUGUGGAUGAUAUUAUUAUUACUGGGAAUGACAAUGAUGAGCUUUCUGCGCUGAAACUUUGUCUGGAUGACCAGUUCAGGAUUAAAGACCUGGGGUCUUUGCAUUAUUUCCUGGGCAUUGAUAUGUCUGUUGUUCCUAGUGGAAUGCAUCUUAAUCAGCAUAAAUAUGUCUCUGACCUGCUGCAUCAAUUUGACUGUUAUGAAUGUUUCUCCUGUUGUUUGUCCUUUAGAUCUUAAUGUCAAACUCCAUGCUGAUUCUAGUGACCUCUUCUCCUCCCCUGAUCAAUAUAGGCGCCUCAUUGGUAAGCUCUUAUUUUUGACCCACGCCAGGCCUGACAUCUGCUUUGUUGUUCAGCAUCUGAGUCAAUUUUUGA